rnacentral:rRNA from 1 species
CGGAGGGUGCAAGCGUUAUCCGGAUUUAUUGGGUUUAAAGGGUCCGCAGGCGGACUAUUAAGUCAGUGGUGAAAGCCCACAGCUCAACUGUGGAAUUGCCAUUGAUACUGGUAGUCUUGAGUGCGUAUGAAGUUGGCGGAAUGUGUGGUGUAGCGGUGAAAUGCUUAGAUAUCACACAGAACACCGAUUGCGAAGGCAGCUGACUAAUACGUUACUGACGCUCAGGGACGAAAGUGUGGGGAUCAAACAGGAUUAGAUACCCUGGUAGUCCACACCGUAAACGAUGAUCACUAGAUUUUGGUCGUAAGAUCAGAGUCCAAGCGAAAGUGUUGAGUGAUCCACCUGGGGAGUACGUCCGCAAGGAUGA